rnacentral:rRNA from 1 species
ACUCCUACGGGAGGCAGCAGUGGGGAAUAUUGGACAAUGGGCGGAAGCCUGAUCCAGCAACGCCGCGUGAGGGAUGACGGCCUUCGGGUUGUAAACCUCUUUCAGUACCGACGAAGCGGAAGUGACGGUAGGUACAGAAGAAGCACCGGCCAACUACGUGCCAGCAGCCGCGGUAAUA